GUUUAACCUCUAAGAGGUCCCAAAGAGACUACCUUAACCGAAACUCCUCAAUGUGAGAGUGUUAGGAAAAAAGGCAGUCCAAACUGAAGCUUCUGCGGCUUUUUAUUGACAGAAGCCAGAAGCAAGAAGCAAGGAUAGAGGACCAGAGAAGGGUGUCUGUGCAGGAACUCAUGUAGGGCACAGGGGAAAGACAGGGUGGUCUGUUACAUGACUGACCUCAGGGCCAAAAUGAGUAAUAAAUCAGAGCAUGGGGACGACAAGGACCAGAGUAUUCAUUCCUUAAGAAAGGCAGAGUGAAGUCUUCUGCAGAUAACCCUUUACAGGAAAAUGACUACAGCACUGACAAGACAUUGUCAAAAAUCACAGUUUUGGAAACCUGGAAGUUAACCAAUGGCUUAUGACAUUCUAAGAAGCUCCUAAACCCAGACUGGAGAAAAACUAGAAAAUACACAUCAGAAAGAAUCUUCCAAAUACUGGAUACAUUGUGAAAGCUAACUUUUCUUCAUGAAGAUCACAUCUCAGCACAACUUCUUUUCACAACAUAAUCAUGUGUCUUAGUGUUCUGCACAGAAAAACAAAACAAAACAAGACUUGCUAUCAGAUGACGGUCAAUUCAUCAUCACUAAAUUCAGCUGCUUAUGUUUAAAAAUCUCCGUACAUGAAAAGGAUCCUCUAAAAACUCAGGGCAGCUUUUAAGUGUAAAGGAGACAAUUGCUGGUGUUAUGAUUUCAGAACCUUUUCUCUGCCAUAUGAGCCAAGAUGGUCUAACCUCCCAGAAGAUGGGAGAACAGAAGCAGACAUCAGCCUCCCAGCUUUGAUCCCUUAGACCAGGAGUCCCCAGUGUUUUUUGGCAUGACAAAGACAAUUUUUCUACGGAUAGCAGACAUUCCCAGGGGAGACAGCUAGAAUAUCGGAGAAAUAAAGAACUGUUUGAUGAUCUUUAGCUGAAACCUCAUUGACAAAAGAAGAUCUAGUGGGAUGAUGCCAGCAUGAUGACUAGUUCAGAUGAACAAAUGGGAAAUGAAUAACCUUAAAAAACUGUG